rnacentral:rRNA from 1 species
UACGGGGGGGGCAAGCGUUGUUCGGAAUUACUGGGCGUAAAGGGCUCGUAGGCGGCCAACUAAGUCAUACGUGAAAUCCCUCAGCUUAACUGGGGAACUGCGUGUGAUACUGGAUGGCUUGGAUUUGGGAGAGGGAUGCGGAAUUCCAGGUGUAGCGGUGAAAUGCGUAGAUAUCAGGAGGAACACCGGCGGUGUAGACGGCUUACUGGACCAUAACUGACGCUGAGGCACGAAAGUGUGGGGAGCAAACAGG